UUCGGGGUGUAAACCACUGUUGCCCGGGACGAAACUCUCCUUUUGAGGAGAUUGACGGUACCGGGUGAGGAAGCACCGGCUAACUCUGUGCCAGCAGCCGCGGUAAUACAGAGGGUGCGAGCGUUGUCCGGAAUCACUGGGCGUAAAGGGCGCGUAGGCGGCUCAGUAAGGUUGCGGUGAAAGCCCGGGGCUCAACCCCGGGUCGGCCGUGGCAACUGCUGGGCUGGAGCACUGUAGAGGCAGGUGGAAUUCCGGGUGUAGCGGUGGAAUGCGUAGAGAUCCGGAAGAACACCGGUGGCGAAGGCGGCCUGCUGGGCAGUAGCUGACGCUGAUGCGCGACAGCGUGGGGAGCAAACAGGAUUAGAUACCCUGGUAGUCCACGCCGUAAACGAUGGGCACUAGGUGCUUGGGGGAGCGACCCUCCGAGUGCCGGCGCUAACGCAUUAAGUGCCCCGCCUGGGGAGUACGGCCGCAAGGCUGAAACUCAAAUGAAUUGACGGA
rnacentral:rRNA from 1 species